GACGAACGCUGGCGGCGUGCUUAACACAUGCAAGUCGAACGGUAAGGCCCUUCGGGGUACACGAGUGGCGAACGGGUGAGUAACACGUGGGUGAUCUGCCCUGCACUUCGGGAUAAGCCUGGGAAACUGGGUCUAAUACCGGAUAGGACUCCGGACUGCAUGGUCUGGGGUGGAAAGCUUUUGCGGUGUGGGAUGGGCCCGCGGCCUAUCAGCUUGUUGGUGGGGUGACGGCCUACCAAGGCGACGACGGGUAGCCGGCCUGAGAGGGUGACCGGCUACACUGGGACUGAGAUACGGCCCAGACUCCUACGGGAGGCAGCAGUGGGGAAUAUUGCACAAUGGGCGCAAGCCUGAUGCAGCGACGCCGCGUGAGGGAUGACGGCCUUCGGAUUGUAAACCUCUUUCAGCAUCGACGAAGCGAAAGUGACGGUAGGUGCAGAAGAAGGACCGGCCAACUACGUGCCAGCCGCCGCAGUAA
rnacentral:rRNA from 1 species